GACGAACGCUGGCGGCGUGCCUAAUACAUGCAAGUAGAACGCUGAAGAGAGGAGCUUGCUCUUCUUGGAUGAGUUGCGAACGGGUGAGUAACGCGUAGGUAACCUGCCUGGUAGCGGGGGAUAACUAUUGGAAACGAUAGCUAAUACCGCAUAAAAUUGAUUAUUGCAUGAUAAUUAAUUGAAAGAUGCAACUGCAUCACUACCAGAUGGACCUGCGUUGUAUUAGCUAGUUGGUGAGGUAACGGCUCACCAAGGCGACGAUACAUAGCCGACCUGAGGGGGUGAUCGGCCACACUGGGACUGAGACACGGCCCAGACUCCUACGGGAGGCAGCAGUAGGGAAUCUUCGGCAAUGGGGGGAACCCUGACCGAGCAACGCCGCGUGAGUGAAGAAGGUUUUCGGAUCGUAAAGCUCUGUUGUAAGAGAAGAACGGGUGUGAGAGUGGAAAGUUCACACUGUGAC
rnacentral:rRNA from 1 species